UGUGUAAUACCUUUUAAGCUGGUAUUAAUUUGGUAAGACAUAUAGAACAAAAGUUGUGUGUAAUUACAAGAGCUUUCGAAUGAAAUCAAGAAAAAGGGGCUGGCCCCUAUAUUUAGGGGUCAGGAGAUCAUAAACGUGUUUUUUUAAUACUUAAAAAUGUUGACGUAUAUUGAAAAAGUUUGAAUGAAAUAAUCUUUAGGAUAUCAAAUCUUGUCAUUUGGUAUGAUAAGAAACAAGCUUUGUGCUAUAUUUAUUUCUAUUUCAUAAAAGAAAUGUGUGAGAAUCGUACAGGAACAAGUUGUCUGUACAAGCCCGCCAAGCUGAUUCGGGGCCUCAUGCUUGUGUAGUGCUUAGAUAGUUGAUUUAGAUACAUUGUUUUGAUUCGACUUCUCUUUUUUAAUUUAUUUAAAUAAUUAACAAAAUGCAAUGUUUUUACACGAUGAACUGUUAAACAUCAUGUAUGUAUGUAUGUUAUCAGUGCAGAGCAAGUCUUUACGGGCCCUCCUGGAUGUAAACAUUCACGAGAGGCAUUGUGGGAAGGCCAGAGAAUGGCGAAAUCAAAUUGUGAUGUGUACAUUUUAUCACCGUAUGUAGACAUGUAUAUUCAUUGUACAGCUACGAGCACAUGAACUGCCCUCGAUUACGCACUUGGAGCAUUAGUCAAUACUAACGAAGGAUAUAUUGUUGUCUGAAUCGUUUACCAUGUUUCGACUACCAGAAAAUUCUGACGGUCAUAUUUGCAAUGGAUUGAUAAACACAUAAAGAUACAGUGCAGAUAUAUUUAUAAACUGUCCCCAGUGAUAUUGUAACUAGUAAGGAAAAGUUAAUGGUGACACUUUAAUGUGUGAUGGAAUUGGACGUUGCUAAAAAGGUGCGCAUGAUGCAACUUCCUGGAUGGUGUGGAGUCUGUUUGUUAACAUGUGAAACCCACGUGUAUUUUGAGGUAGGUGUGUUUACUGUCAAUUUUCUCUCUUAAAUGCCGCAUAAGGCGUCUUUUUUCUGAUCUCAAAUUUUUGCCCAAGAAUUAAUCUUUAUUUUCUCUUUCAUUAAUUAUCUGAUGACAAUCUAUUUAAUUAAUUAAUUUAAUUAAAGCUAUAUAGUAACAUAUAGUGAAAUUAUUUCCUUGUGUGAGACCUUAAGAGUAACAGGUAACGUUCAUUUUGACUGCAAUUUCUCUGAUUUCAGGAGUAGCCUCCCCUGUUAAAGAUCAAUAAUGGUGGAUAAACAAUGCAGGAUGCUGUCAUGUCAUCAACAGAGAGUUUUGACACCCGUAUUUGUACCAAUCACCUCUGUAACCUUUGUUGUGUUCAUCAAAUAGGUAAGAAAUACAUGAUAAUUAUUUUAAAUAACUUUAUUAAAAUGAAUAAUAAAAAAUAGAACAAAUUUACUUGUACAGACUUCCUCGUAUACGAAAAUGUCACAUUUUACAAUACGAUUAUACAUCAUUUAAACAUAUCCUCAUAGACGCAGUUGAAUAGAAACAGUGCAUGAUAAAACAUAACAUUUAUUACAUGCAACACAAUUUACAGAAUAUGUAUUAAAUACAAAUUUCAUACAUUUAAAUUACAUACACAAAUGAUACACAUCAUCAAUGCCCCCGACCUUUUUUUCACACUUACAACUUCCUUUUUAAUUUUGGAUCUGUUAGUGAUUUACUGUAAGUGUCUUUUGAUUUUUUAUCUUAGAGCUGAUAUCUCUUAGAUCUGUAGUAUUUUCGUUGAUAUUUAUAUUUUAAAAGUUUUUGUUUCAUUUUAAAGUAAAUUUGCCUAUUUUGUUGUUGUUUUAGAUGAUGGACCACUCUACUUCCUUUUACAACAGGUGCCCCUACAGAUUCACAAAGUUCCAAUGUUGAUUUUCCAUGACCCCCAUUCAUCCGCGACAGGAAAAGGAAUGAAGUUGACAGGAUUUCCCGCACUGUCCUUGGUAGCAGCUUAUGAUAGAACGGACAGCAGUAGACAUAGCCCGCUUCAUCAAAGGUCUGCUCCAUGUUGGUAGCUGAUGCUGGUUCAAUAUUUGCGCCAAGAAGCAUACCACGCAUACCCUCUGUAGUAAGGCUGGUACCCAUGUGACCGACAGCCAUAGCCACAUUUAGCUGUGCAGCUCUGCGUCCCCUUCUGGAUCUCCCCACCUCUUGAUACAUCUUUUCACGGCGACUUGUAUAGUGGCACUUCUUACAUCGGAUGGAAAGGAUCCAUGCCAGGCCUCGUUUUUCCUCCCCAUGCUGGUUCCAGUCCAGUGAACCAUUACAGUCUGGAAACUUCUAGCUGCCUGGUCUUCUAAGAGAAACUCCAUUCUUUGAUGACUGAUGGAAAAGCCUCAUCAUUUCCUACUGCUAAAGAACUACUUAUCUUAAUCACCAGCCAUUUAUCAGUGAUCACUGUUAUCAAAGCUCCAUGGUGCGCAUGAUGCAACUUCCUGGAUGUUUGUCAACAUGUGAAACCCACGUGUAUUUUGAGGUAGGUGUGUUUACUGUCAAUUUUCUCUCUUAAAUGCCGCAUAAGGCGUCUUUUUUCUGAUCUCAAAUUUUUGCCCAAGAAUUAAUUUUUAUUUUCUCUUUCAUUAAUUAUUUACUGAGAGUCUAGUUACUUGAUUAAUUUAAUUAAAGCUAUAUAGUAACAUAUAGUGAAAUUAUUUCCUUAAACAUGUUAAACAAACUUUCCCUUGACAGUCGUGUCGGAAAGCAAAAUCCAUUUUGAUUAGUUUAACAAAAUUG